rnacentral:rRNA from 1 species
AGGGAAUCUUCCACAAUGGACGCAAGUCUGAUGGAGCAACGCCGCGUGAGUGAAGAAGGUUUUCGGAUCGUAAAGCUCUGUUGUUGGUGAAGAAGGAUAGAGGCAGUAACUGGUCUUUAUUUGACGGUAAUCAACCAGAAAGUCACGGCUAACUACGUGCCAGCAGCCGCGGUGAUACGUAGGUGGCAAGCGUUGUCCGGAUUUAUUGGGCGUAAAGCGAGCGCAGGCGGAAUGAUAAGUCUGAUGUGAAAGCCCACGGCUCAACCGUGGAACUGCAUCGGAAACUGUCAUUCUUGAGUGCAGAAGAGGAGAGUGGAACUCCAUGUGUAGCGGUGGAAUGCGUAGAUAUAUGGAAGAACACCAGUGGCGAAGGCGGCUCUCUGGUCUGCAACUGACGCUGAGGCUCGAAAGCAUGGGUAGCGAACAGGAUUAGAUACCCUGGUAGUCCAUGCCGUAAACGAUGAGCGCUAGGUGUUGGGGACUUUCCGGUCCUCAGUGCCGCAGCAAACGCAUUAAGCGCUCCGCCUGGGGAGUACGACCGCAAGGUUGAAACG